rnacentral:rRNA from 1 species
UACGUAGGGUGCGAGCGUUGUCCGGAAUUAUUGGGCGUAAAGAGCUCGUAGGCGGUCUGUCGCGUCGAUCGUGAAAACUUGGGGCUUAACCCUGAGCUUGCGGUCGAUGCGGGCAUGACUGGAGUUCGGCAGGGGAGACUGGAAUUCCUGGUGUAGCGGUGAAAUGCGCAGAUAUCAGGAGGAACACCGAUGGCGAAGGCAGGUCUCUGGGCAUUAACUGACGCUGAGGAGCGAAAGCAUGGGGAGCGAACAGG